GAUGAACGCUGGCGGCGUGCUUAACACAUGCAAGUCGAACGAAACACCUUAUUUGAUUUUCUUCGGAACUGAAGAUUUGGUGAUUGAGUGGCGGACGGGUGAGUAACGCGUGGGUAACCUGCCCUGUACAGGGGGAUAACAGUCAGAAAUGACUGCUAAUACCGCAUAAGACCACAGCACCGCAUGGUGCAGGGGUAAAAACUCCGGUGGUACAGGAUGGACCCGCGUCUGAUUAGCUGGUUGGUGAGGUAACGGCUCACCAAGGCGACGAUCAGUAGCCGGCUUGAGAGAGUGAACGGCCACAGUGGGACUGAGACACGGCCCAAACUCCUACGGGAGGCAGCAGUGGGGAAUAUUGCACAAUGGGGGAAACCCUGAUGCAGCGACGCCGCGUGAGUGAAGAAGUAUUUCGGUAUGUAAAGCUCUAUCAGCAGGGAAGAAAAUGACGGUACCUGACGAAGAAGCCCCGGCUAACUACGUG
rnacentral:rRNA from 1 species